CAUGAUGAGCUGUCAUAGCUUGGAUUGUAUAGCAGGUAGUCGCAGUCGCCUACAUUAAAUAAUUUUUUUAAUGAAAAAAGACUCACUUUAAAUGAAUCUUUUUUAAACGUUAGGAUUGUUAUGAUUUUAACGAACUGU
rnacentral:ncRNA from 1 species